CAGGGAGGGAGGGAGGAUCAGGAAGAGAGGCAGGUUUGAGGUGCAGGUGGGGACACAGCUGGAGAUUGUAGCCAGUAUUUGUUAACUGAGUUACUAAAUUUUGUUUGUUGUUAAGAGUUACUAAAAUACCUGAGUAUGGCAUUUGUCUCCCUUUGUCAAGAGAAAAACCCUCUAGUUAAAUCACUCUUUGAAGAGUAGUUGCUGAACCAGGGGAAGCUAACUUCAACAGCAGUAAAUGCUGUGCAUUUUGUCCCCUCAGGGUAAAACUGGGGACCUUGGAAAGUCCUGGGAACUUGCUGAUCAAUUUGCAAAUCCAGUAUGUCUACUGUUUCAGUCACAAUGCUGGGACAAGGAACAAUGGGACAAAGGGACAAUGCUGGGACAAGGAAAGUCUUCUCGAAGACCCAUACCUGUAGUCAAAUUGAAUAACUAUUUCUUUAAGUAGUGAUUCAGUUGUCAACAGUUUACAGGCUGGUUCUGCCCAGCUCCAUGACUAGUAGUGGGGCAGGGCAACCCACAGAUCUAUGGCUGGGGAAAGGGUAGGGAGAUGGGCCUAAAAACAAAACAGCAGCAAUUAUCUGAGGAGAAAUAAAACUAGUUUACGAAGUAAGAUAUUGGAAUGCAAGAUAACACACUGUAGUACAAUAUAAUUAGAAUUGAAGCUAGUAAAUAAAAUGAGUGUCCAAAAACCAAAGCCCUUAGUCUAAUGCUGAGGCAAGAUGUCUAACCAGGCCAAGCAGAAGAGAAAAGGGGGAUGUCUUGUGAUACGAGAACGGUUUUAUCUUUCCCUCUGAAAAGAAAAUGGAAACAACAAUGCAAAGUCCUCUGGUGUAUGUAGUUGUUCUUCUCUUCUGAGAACUGGGUAUCCAGUGCACAACAUGUUGCUAUGAUGUGGAAUACCAAUAACAAAAACCAUAAAACCACAAGAAGUUCAUACUUCCUUUGUAAGUACAGAUACUUCUACGUGGAAAAUGAUAGUUAUAUUCCACUAGGAGAAAACAUUCCACCAAAUGUUAAUGUACAGCAUUUCUGUAGUUUGGAGACACCUGUUCAGUUAGGUUUAUAAGGAAAUAGCUAAUAAGGUUAUUUACUCAUUCUGUUGCAUCAUCUUUUAUGUAGAACAUACGACCCUAAUUGUCAGUGUUCUUUUUGUCAGCCAAUACUUUGUAGUUUCCAUGUCAGCAAUACUCAUUUUCAAAGAGCAAUUUCACUCCAGCUGUCUCCUACUGAGGUAGUCAUUUUUGUUUGUUUCUGAUCCAGCAUUUUUCUUUUUUAGAUACGUAAGAUACCACAGGAUUUGAAUUUUAAACAAAUACUUGUUUUCUGCUUCCAACCUUGUGUCAUUAAAAAAUAAAGACAAAAAACACUUCUGGUAGCUGAUGGAGGAUUACUUAGAAGUCUACCUGCAGACUCCUACAGAUGCAGAAUUUGAAGUUUUCCUGUCUUAAAUUCAAAGUUAGUACCUUUAUACAAACAUUAAACGCACCAUUUUAUAGGACUUUGUCUACGGUAUUAGUCAUAGAAUCCUUACGGUUGGAAGGGACCUUUAAAGGUCAUGUAGUUCAAUUCCCCUGCAAUGAGCAGGGACAUCCACAGCUAGAUCAGGUUGCUCAGAGCCCUGUCCAGCCUGAACUCUCGAGGGAGGGGUCUUCAACCUCAAACACCGAAGACAACUGAUCCUAACUCUGACCCCUGGGAGACACCACUAGUCACUGAUCUCUAUCCAGACAUGGAGCCAUUGCCCACCACUCUCUGGACUCAGUCCUGUUGCCACUUCUUUAUGUUGAACAGUCCACCCAUCAAAUCCGUAUAUUUCCAAUCUGAAGAGAAGAAUGUUGUGGGUUACUGUGCCAAAGGCCUUACUGAAGUCCAGACAGAUGACAUCAGUGGCUUUUCACUUGUCCAUUGAUGCAGUGACACCAUCGUAGAUGGUCAAUCAGGAUUUUUCCCUUGGUAAAGCCAUGCUGGUUCUCCUGUAUCACCUCCCUGUCAUCCACAUGCCUUAGCAUAGCUUCCAGGAAGAUCUGCUUCAUGAUCUUUCUUGGCACAGAGGUACAACUGAGCAGUUGGUAGUUCCCAGGGUCAUUCUGGGUAAAACCCUCUUAAAAAUGUGUGAUGUUGCCUUUUUUUUUUUUUUCUCCAGUCACCAGGGACUUCACCUGACUGCCUGCCAUGACUUUUCAAUAAAAAGUCCUGUACCAUGAAACUCAGUAUGUGUCUGCUGAUAAACGAUGGAAACCAGCUUGGCAGGCACUUCUGUUAGCUCCUUCAGUGCACUUGGGUGGAUCCCAUCUGACCCCAUGGUCUUGGACUCACAGAAUGGCCUGGGUUGGAAGGGACCUCAAGGAUCAUGAACCUCCAACCCCCAUGCCAGGCAGGGCCACCAGCCUCCCCAUUUAAUAGACCAGGUUGCCCAGGGCCCCAUCCAACCUGGCCUUGAACACCUCCAGGGACGGGGCAUCCACAACCUCUCUGGGCAGCCUGUUCCAGCACCUCACCACUCUCCUUGUAAAGAACUUCCCCCUAACAUCCAGCCUAAAUCUUCCCUCUUUCAACUUAAAACCAUUCCCCCUUGUCCUGCUGUUAUCUACCCUUUCAAAGAGUUUACUCCCUUCCUGUUUAUAGGCUCCCUUCAGGUACUGAAAGGCUGCAAUGAGGUCACCCUGCAGCCUUCUCUUCUCCAGGCUGAAUAAGCCAAGCUCCCUCAGCCUGUCAUUGUAGGGGAGGUGCUCCAGCCCCCUGAUCAUCUUUGUGGCCCUCCUUUGGACCCUCUCCAACAGCUCUCUGUCUUUCUUGUACUGGGGGCUCCAUACCUGGACACAGUAGUCCAGAUGGGGCCUCACAAGAGCAGAGUAGAGAGGGACAGUCACCUCCCUGUCCCUGCUGGCCACCCCUCUCAUGAUGGAGCCCAGGAUACCAUUUGCUUUCCAAGCUGCAAGAGCACACUGCUGGCUCAUGUUAAGGUUGUCAUCCAUCAGGACCCCCAGGUCUUUCUCUGCAGAGCUGCUCUCAAGGACUUCUCCUUCCAGUCUUUACAGAUGCCUGGGGUUCCUCCAGCCCAAGUGCAAAACCUCGCACAUUGCUGUGCUGAACCUCAUUGGGUUCACCCGGGCCCACCUUUCAAGUCUGACUCACCACCACUGACUUUGUUUUGAUGGCAGCAAGCUGCAAUUCCAUAAAUGGAUAAGCAGGGAAGAAGGAAGAUGUAGUGUUUUUUAGAAUUCAGCAGAGCAAGAGCAAAGGUAGUAGGGUCUCAAAUUAUUCUUGUAGGUAAGCCUUUGGUGCAUAUCUAUUUAGGACUAUUGUUGUCAUACCUGUGUACAACUUUCAGGAGGCACAACUGAGUAAUGUGUGCUCACUACAGACUGAUUAGAGAGGGGGUUUUGAAAGAACCAUGGUUUCAUAACAAUAAGUCUGGUUUUAGUUCACUUAGGAUUGAGCCAAAGCAUAGUAGUCACAAGAUGCUAAGCAGUACUUUACUCAAGUUCACUCUGCUAAAUCAAAUGUAUUAACAUUUUGUUAUGUCAAGCCGGGCAUAGUAUCUUUCUGCAGCUGGCAUAAACGCCACAUCACAUGUUCAGGCUAAUUCAACAAAACUAGUCAUGUCGUAAGGGUCAAAUACAUAUUACCAGAUAAGCCAAGUUCUCUGAAUUUAAAGUUAUGGCUCAAUCAUGGAACGUAACAAAUAAUUUCUUGUGAUUGGUAACUUGGUUACUGCUCUCCAUUACAACCUGGAAAUGUAAUGCAAGCGUCUGAGCUGUUCGGGAAUUAUGGCAAACAGCUCCAAUGUUGAUACUUGUAAUAAAACUAGAGUAUUUUCCCUGCUAAAAAAUGUCCUUGUAACAUUGUUUUGGAAACAUGGCUCUGACUUCUGUUAAGUUUAGUUAACAAAAUGUGUUCUUCAGCAGGCAGAAAAUGUCUACAAAAUUUUAGGUGUUUCUAUCAUUCUUGUCACAUGUCCCAGACUAAAGGUGUACCACUUUAAUUACUUGAAGUACACAGUCCUAUUUACUUUAAUAUAAUCUGGCACUAGCUUGGGUUUGGUGUGGUUUAAAAGGCAAUUCUUCACCCUCGCUUCUUUCACAGCUGGCUGUAUGUUCCCUCUCUUCCUGUCACAUUGGAUUUAGCAAGCAUAUUAGUGAAAAUUGGUUUGAUUCAGUAAAAAGCACCUGUCACAAACAGUUUUCUUCAGUUCUACCUGUUGAACUGACUCAUUGCACUAGAUCUAAUCAGAGCUUAGGAAAUGGAAUCUGAUAGUCUGUGUAACAUGAUGGUAAGUGCAACAAUGACAACAGAGCAGCAAGAACCCAGGCAAGUGAGGAGUUACAGUGGACACAGAAAUAAGGGGAAAAAAACACCUUACCUUCAGAAGGCCUCAGAUAUGCUGUUGCCUUCAGCAACUAUGAUGUUAGCCACCUGUGCUAGCCCUCUUGCACACACUGACCAAUUACCUGAUCAGGGCCAAAUGACUGCAGACGCACACCAAUAUGAUGAGCAGUAAAAUGGCAUCUAUUCACUACUAAGCACAGCUUAUAUACCUUUACUUGAGCUAUCGUGCCCUGUUCUGAUUCGUCCGUACUGGAUCUUAGCCCCUUACUACAAUUCCUUAUUUGGCUCCUAUUGUCUCCUCAUUCCUUCGCCUACUUAUCUUGUUUACUUCAUUAGCAAGGACAGCCUGUCUGAACACAACAGCACCCUUUCACUGUGCUUAGGAAGAGGACUAUCCCAUACAGCACGUAUUCCCAUCAAGCGCCUACUACAACAAUAGUACAGACCUCCAGUGAGAUAAUCUGACCCCCACUGCCAACCCUUACAUGAGGUCUGGAAAGAGGUGCAUCCCGGCUCCACCCUUUCUCAUCACUCAGGUACAUUGCAUGCACCUGAGCUCCCCUGGGUUGGCCCUGCCUUCCCACCAGGUGCUCAAUCACUAUUUCAAGCUGUGACUUAGCAUUUCCACUACAGCGUGGUUCUUCUUUCUCUAUUAUUUCAAGAAUUCUGUCAAUAUUGUCGGAGAACUGUUGUAGUAGGCGUCUUACGGGGAAACAGGAUGUACGGGACAGGCUUUUCCCUAAGCAUAGUGAGACGGUGCUAUCGUGCUGACCUUGAUGCAGAGAAAACAAGAAUAGGGGAAAGAUGCAAAGGAAUGAGGAAGCAGCCAAAUAAGGCACAGUGUUAUGUAGUGCGAACCAAUCAGGGUGGAACAUGACAGCACGGUUGCUUAGGUAAAAUAUGUAAGCUGUGUUUAGUAGUGAUUAAACGCCAUUUUGCUGCUCAUCAUAUUGGUGUGCGUCUGCAGUCAUUUGGUCCUGACCAGGUAAUUGGCCAGCUCGCGCUAGGGCUAACACAGGUGGCUAACAUCAUAGUUGCUGAAAGCAACAGAGAACAAGCUUUGUGUUCUUAACAACAUCAACAAGAUUUCUUUCUUCAGUCUUGUAUUUCAGGGUGAAUCACUUCCAUUGUUCUUUUCUUUCUGAGAACUAAGAUUUUCCAAAAUUUGUUUGUAAAAGCAAAGCAAGCAACUGGUUUAUUUCAGGAUCUUGUAUUUUUUUUCCUUUUGAACUAGGAAUUAUCUGUUUUAUACUGUUUUUUCUUUUCUUGUUUAGAAAGACCCUCUGCAGAGCCUGAUAACCUAUGAUUGCCUCUAUCAUGAAUGAUUCGUGCAGAAGUAUGCUUGCAAGUAUGCCUGCAUAUGAACUGAUUUCAUUCAAAAUACAUAGUUAUUUUUGGCAUUUAAAACUUUCUGAUUCUUUUAUACGUUGGAUAAAAAGUGUUUUUCACUUGGCUCUGAAAUGAUGUGCAUUUCAAAGAUGCUGUCGUGUGAUUGGCUCUAAGAUAUUUAGUUUUGCCUUGGGCAUGUGUUUGGAGUUCUUGAUUUUUUUUUUUUUUUUUGUCAAAUUCAUAAUUUUUUUAGAGGUUUGGUUAUUUUCUGCUUCUUUUAAACCUAUUCCUAAUUGUUGAAUAAAUCACUACUUUUUUUUCCCCCAGUUGUCAGUUUAACCUGAUCUGUAUUGUUUCUACUCUACACUUCUAAAGGUUUUGUUGUUAUUUUCUAUACAAGGUAUUUUGCUGACUGCUGUAGUUGUUUCCUAGCAUUUGUCAUUAUAGGAAGUCUGUUAGUCACACUGUAAUUACGGAGUUAGCCAGUGAAGUUAAAAGUUUCACCAGUAGAUAUAUCUUUCGAAAAGCUAUCUCAAUAGGCCCUCGUCAUGCUAGGUUCAUUUUUUGCAGUGGUAAGUACUUUAUAUUUAACAAUAUUGCUAGUUGUUACAAAUAUACAAUGAGCUGAAAAUGUAGUGUGUGUUUGUUGACUAUUUUUAUUUUGUGACGUGGUGGAUCUCUUGUAUUACUUCUAAAUGUUUUCUAGACAUAGCUGAUAAUUCAUGAAAUUGCCAUGCAAUUUAAAGAUUGUCUUAGUGUUGCUAUACAUCCCCAUUUAUCCUAAAAACGAUAAAUCCUAUGUUGAAGGUAGUAGGUGAUUCUGUGACAUUAUAAUAUUGUGAUGAAUAUAGUGAAAUAAAUAGUUUGUGUCAUCUACUGGUCUGAACAGGAUCUGCAUUUCAAUUCAGAAUGAGUUGUGUGUCCUAGUGAAGUGUUCAGUAUGUAAAAGAAGAAAAUCACCAUAAAUAAUGUAAUUUUUAAUGUCUUUUCUGUAUUAAGUGCCAACAAAUGUUAAAAAUGUGCUAAUUAAAGGAAGAAACUAAUAUGUUAUCCCUUUUCCUAUCUCUGCCUUCUUAACCAUACCUAGAAGUUUAAUCUAAAUUUGAUAGAGCGUGGAAAGGUACCUUCCAAUAGGUUGGUCAUGUUUUAGCAGGAUUUAUGUCUAUAUUGGUGGUAUAGAGUACUGUGAAUAUGAACAGUUUGUCUAGACAUGUUUGAUGGAGUCAUACUUUCUAUAAUAAUUUGUAAUUACGGUAUAUCCCAUCAUCACAUUUACUUAUAAAAGAGUAUUUAAAAUAAACCAACACCUUCUCCUUCAUGGAUUUUCUCUGUAAAUUUUGGUGUUAAGGCUGGAGUAAUAAAGCUACUGGUACGGGGUGGACUUCAUCGUAGCAUACUUCAUAUACUUUAGUUUAGCUGAACGAACUUCAUAUCCUACAGCCUGAUAGAUGAUUGUAUUUUCUGAGAUUCCAUGCUCAAUUCUUAAUUCAGUUUGUCUUAGCACUUGCAUAUUUGAUACAUUCUGUGUACAUUCAGAUUAUAAAUAUUAUUCUGCAAUGAGCUUUGUCUUCCACUGUUUCAUUUUUCAUAGUUAUCUCCCAAGCAAAACCAACAGAUCCACAA
ensembl:lncRNA